rnacentral:tRNA from 1 species
GGAGGUGUGGUUCUGGUAGCAGAGCACCUGCCUAGCAAGUUGGAGGCCCUAAGUUCAAACCUUAGGACCACCA